rnacentral:sRNA from 1 species
GGAUCAUGUGAAGCAAUCUGGCUGUGACAUUUGUCACUUCACUCACUGUCAGGGUUGAUUUGGCUGAACUGGCUGGCCAUGUGGGUGUCCCCUUUCUCCCUCACUACUCCAUAUGUGUCCUUUUCUGACCCUCCAAGCUGUGCAGUAGGUCAGGGAAAAUGACUUUCCCCAUAGAGAAGGAUCAUUUCCUCAGUCAAGGGUAUACGAGUGGCUGUGCCCCCCAUGUUAGAACCUCCAGACAAGCUCACAAGAAUGCUUCUGUCCAUUCAGAGUCAUCUUGUUUUGUUUU